AUCUACCGGUAGCUUGUGAUCCACGUCAUGGGUACCACUGCUAUACCUACAUUUGAUUUUGUAUUCACCUGUCGACCUUUACAGGAGGUGUACUACAAAGUUUUCUCCAUGAGCAUGGUGACAAACGAGGUUGCUGUUCGUGUCUGUCAUGCCACCCGUCUGUCCUAUUUUCAUCAGACACUUCUUCCAUACCGCAAAGUCAGCGUUGUCUCGUCCACGCUAUAAAAGUCAAAUAAGCCCUGCCCCACACAGCCAGGCCGAGCCCCCACCACCAGAGAGCCACCAGUCGCACGGAGGCGGGCAGGACCAAGACCGGCCCUCCAAGACCAGCAAGGGGCUGCAGAGAGGCAACCCUGACCAGAAACAGGGCGCUGGCAGGCCGGAGGGCAGCCAACCCUUGAGACCGGCGAGAGAACACACCCCAGACAGGCACCGGGGGCCACAUACCAGCAGGCACAGAGAUGCCCCUGCAACCGGAAAGGAGUUCUCCCAUGGCCGGGAGCAUCAACCCCCCACGCCACCCACCAUCCCCAGGGAACGGAGUCCGCCCCGGGCGAACCCAUGCCCCGACCCCUUACACAGGACCGCCUCGCCCGGGGACGAAGGGGGGGGCAUGACCUCUGAGCCCAGGUAAAAAAAAGACGAGAUAAACUCAGCAGGCUCUGAGUCCAAGACGAUGGGGGGAGUGGAUUGGAACCAUCACCGACUUACAGUAGUUUGGUUUCGGACCAGUUGACAUGCAGUCCCACUUCAUUGUCUCCACAGUGAACACACGAAUGGCUCCCUCCAGCUCAGCGUAUGAGCAGCAGAACAGGGCGGUGUCAUCGGUGUAGUCCAGGUCGAUUAGGUUGUAGUCAUCGAUCUUGACUUCAGGGAAACGGGUGCACACUAUCGUCCUGCGGUAACACAACACUGGUAAACACCAGCUGUGAGGAGGGUUGUAAUGGGGGGUGGGGCCAGUCUGAACCAAAAAGUCCAGGGCCAAAUUUUUGUCUUAGUCCACCCUUGCCAGCGGUGAUGGGGAACCGGUCGGUCUUGAUGUUGCGUGCUGUGGGCGGCACAAGAUAAUCCUCCGACUUGGCCGACCUGCCUGCCUGGUCAAGUCCCCCUUUGUUCACGACACCCACUCAUGAUAUAGAUUCAUAUUUAAAUACACAAAACAAAAACCCAGAAAAACACACUCCAUGAACUUGAAAAAUGUCAACUUUGUCAUGACUUGACAUGCUCGUUGACAUGAUGCUGAGUGGAAGUCAGCUCUGAAGUGUGCACUGCUCCUUCUUGAUCUAUGGUCCAUUGAUGUUCUGUCAUUCUUCGUUGUGAGGAACAGGUCGUCAAUGAGUUGUGGUGUUCUGUUUGCUUUGGGCAGACUCCACUGCACUACUGAGAGUCUUUAAGCACAUCUAUUAUGCAGCUAUUGAAUGAAUGGAGCCACGCUGAUUGAUUUGGAUGUUAGUGGAGCAGGCUUGUAUAGGGAUACAAUCAACAGCACUACUGUGUGAAUACUGAAACACAUUCACACACGUUAUCCUUCACAAAUAGUUUUAUUAUCCUUAUUCUUGCCUUAUCCUCACCCCAUUUUUUGACAACGCUCAUUACUUCCACAUUUUUCAAAUGAGCUUCUCUGGCUCUGCUGUCACCUGCCUGGCGCCUCACCGCCAGUUCUGCCCCACUACCUGGACAUCGCUCGCCUUCCUUGGCGGAGGUACAUCUUGUAGGAAUAUCCACCACGACAACUCCAAAGCAAUGAAACCCUUCUGGUCUACUUAUCACCACCCUUGAUCACAAUGCUUAAGCCAGCCUAGUCAGGUCAGCCAAUUCUCCUGUCAAACACCACAACAACCUGCGUCAGCUUCAGUUUGCUCAACAUCAGCUCACUCACGAGCGAGGGGCACCUCAUCCACGACCUCCUCAAUGACCGUAAGCUUGACUUCCUGUGGUUGAUUGAAACAUGACAACAGCCCUGCUCAUGCACGCCCCCACCAUUUUAUUGUGGGAUUAGCAAGAAUAAAGAUGUAACACUUACGUUGAAGACAUUACACAUGCUGUAGAAAGGCAUGGCGUAUUAUUGCUGACCUGCUGACAAAAACAAACAGGCAGGCACCAGGAUCCAAUUCAGUGCACUCACUGUGUGCACUCAAACCAAGAAGAGCAGUCUCAUUUGAUCAGGAAAUAUGCUCAUUCCGCCAUUUUUACUUCAAAAAACAAUAAUACAGUUCAAUUGACAAAUAUUAAUAUUUAUUUUAUGUUAUUGCUAUUCUUUUUUUUCUCUCAUCAGCAUCAGUGGAUGUUUGGCUUAGUUGGCAUGGAUAACAAAAAGUGAGGUAGAGAUAAGCGGCACAGAAGGAAGGAUAUGGAUAUGGAUAUAUUUCAUAUGGAUAUAUUUUGUAUAUUUUGGCUCAGGUGGUGGAGUGGUUGUCUCCCAACCUGAAGAUUGCGGGUUUGAACCUCCAUUCCCCCAAUGAGCUUUGGAUCAAGAUACUGAACCCCCAGUUGCUCCUGAUGCUGCGUCAUCAGUAGGUAAAUGUGCUAGCAAUGUCAAAGCAUGAUACCAGGGGUCGCCAACCAAUGGGCCGCAGAAAACUUUCAGGUGCAAUGAUAAGCAAAAAUACGCUUAAAAAAAGUUUGUAAAUAAGUACAUUUAAUUUUAUGUAAACGCAUAUCAGUUUUGUUUUUUUUAUGAUAUUUUUUGCCCCUGGUCCUGUCCAGCCACUAGGGCAGAUAAUACUGUCGAUCUAAGUGCCCUUACAUGCUCAACAGAUUUGCUCUAGCGCAUGCCCGACGUGAUCAUUUUGAUGGCAUACGCUGAACUGUGGACGUAUUUUUCAAUUUUGGACGUAUACAUGACGUAUUAGUAACUUAUAUAGAAUGUUUCUAGAACUUAUAGACAACUUAUACCAACGAAUGCGUAGCGUGUUGCCGGCGUUCACAACUUAUGCCCAACGCCAGUCUAACUUAUGCAAACCGCAUGGCAGCGUAUGGCCGACGAUGACGUGCCGUAGCCUAUAAAAAGGCUGCCACUUGAUGACUCACCUCACUAGACAUCGCAGUGUCAACAUCAGCAUCAUGCCGAAGACAAUUUCCAAGACCGCUGCCGUCAGGGCAGUGACAGAGGGAUCCAUCACCACCCACAGCCUCCCCCUCCUACUCUCACUCUGAUGGAGAUGACGCAGGUUGUAAUGCCCCUUCCCCUCCUGUUGGUUCCAUUCCCCAAAGUUGUUUGAGUACACUAAGUCCCCAACCAAUGAACAUAAUUGGUUCCAGACGACCGUUCUUAAGUCAAAUUGUUCUUAAGUCGAAAAAAAUGAAUAUUGCCAAUGAUAUAGGUAGUACAUGUACAUGUACACAUAUACAGUAUAUGUGUAUGUAUGUACAUAUGAGUUUGGAUGCAGUAGUAAUAUUAAACGAGGAUAAUUAAUGAAAAAAACAAUCAUAAUAAAAGUGAUAUAAUAAUACGUAAUGAUAAAUGUUAUUUACCUUUGAAGAGGAGUGGUCGAGCAUACGUCGUUGUGGUGGUGGAGGAGGAGAUAUUGAAAAAAAGGACAAAUCGUCGUCAUUAGACUCUUCUAAAAGAGGUAGUGUUCUGUGGGUGGUGUAGAAAUAAGCAGGCCUAUUAACUCUUCAUAAACUUUAAUCACACGCUCUGUCCGGGUUGUAUCAUAAAACUCUUCCUUCCUCUCUCCUCUUUCUAUAUCUGUUGGUCCCAUUAGCAGUGUCACAGUGCCCUCUGCUGGUCAAGCAUGUACCAGUAUAAAUAUGGGUUUGCCGGUCAAGCAUGUAGCAGUAUAAAUAUGGAUUUAUAAGGCAAAACACAUGAAAAUAUAGACCAGUCGGCUUGUGUUCGUAUCUCCGAAUGUUCGCACGUCGGAUGUUCGUUAGUAGGGGACUUAGUGUAGUAUUAAAGUGUUGCACUGUGCAAUAACACUUGAAGGAAUACGUUUAUUAUCGUUCAUCGCUGGGGUGUGGUGUCAUUAUGACGGAUGAUCAUGUAUUUCACGGCUGUCUUUUAUACUCAUUUGUAAAUAGUUGUAUUUUUCCCAACAAACCUUAACUUGGACAGUAACAUGUUGUAUCUCUCCAUUCUUUUUGAAUGUAAAUUCUCUUAUGCACUUUAUGUUG